rnacentral:misc_RNA from 1 species
AACGCACCUUGCGCCUCUUGGCUAUUCCGAGGGGCAUGCCUGUUUGAGUAUCAUGAACACCUCAACUCUCACGGUUUACCCGUGAUGAGCUUGGACUUCUGGAGGUUUUGCUGGCCUGUGGUCGGCUCCUCUCAAAUCGAUCAGCUUACCAGUGUUUGGUGGCGUCAUGGGUGUGAUAACUAUCUACGCUUGUGGCCGUCUGCCAGGUAACCUUCAGCGAUGGAGGUUUGCUGGGGCUCACAAAUGUCUCUCCCCAGCGAAGACAGCUUUUUGAACGUUCGAUCUCAAAUCAGGUAGGACUACCCGCUGAACUUAA